rnacentral:rRNA from 1 species
CUACGGGUGGCAGCAGUGGGGAAUAUUGCACAAUGGGCGCAAGCCUGAUGCAGCAACGCCGCGUGAGGGAUGAAGGCCUUCGGGUUGUAAACCUCUUUUAGCAGGGAAGAAGCGAAAGUGACGGUACCUGCAGAAAAAGCACCGGCUAACUACGUGCCAGCAGCCGCGGUGAAUACGUAGGGUGCAAGCGUUGUCCGGAAUUAUUGGGCGUAAAGAGCUCGUAGGCGGUUUGUCACGUCUGCUGUAAAAAUCCAAGGCUCAACCUUGGACUUGCAGUGGGUACGGGCAGGCUAGAGUGCGGUAGGGGAGAUGGAAAUUCCUGGUGUAGCGGUGGAAUGCGCAGAUAUCAGGAGGAACACCAAUGGCGAAGGCACAUCUCUGGGCCGUAACUGACGCUGAGGAGCGAAAGCGUGGGGAGCGAACAGGAUUAGAUACCCCCGUAGUC